AGUGAACGCUGGCGGUAGGCCUAACACAUGCAAGUCGAACGGCAGCACAGUAAGAGCUUGCUCUUACGGGUGGCGAGUGGCGGACGGGUGAGGAAUACAUCGGAAUCUACUUUUUCGUGGGGGAUAACGUAGGGAAACUUACGCUAAUACCGCAUACGACCUACGGGUGAAAGCAGGGGAUCUUCGGACCUUGCGCGAUUGAAUGAGCCGAUGUCGGAUUAGCUAGUUGGCGGGGUAAAGGCCCACCAAGGCGACGAUCCGUAGCUGGUCUGAGAGGAGGAUCAGCCACACUGGAACUGAGACACGGUCCAGACUCCUACGGGAGGCAGCAGUGGGGAAUAUUGGACAAUGGGCGCAAGCCUGAUCCAGCCAUACCGCGUGGGUGAAGAAGGCCUUCGGGUUGGAAAGCCCUUUUGUUGGGAAAGAAAAGCAGCAGGUUAAGACCCCGCUGUUCUGACGGUACCCAAAGAAUAAGCACCGGCUAACUUCGUG
rnacentral:rRNA from 1 species